AUACUACAAGAAUCAUUGAAACUUACGAAGAAGCAGUUUCACAGUCUAAUUCAAAGUUGGAAUGGCCAAAUUAAACCAGGAAAAAAACAGAUAGAUCAAUAAAUAUGUAACGAACAAAGGUUUAAAACAAGACAUAUUUUCACCACAUGAAAACCACAAAAAAUCAUAAAAACAAGAAACAGUAUGGAAAAGAGAAACAAGAUCAUAAUUAAGCUAUGGAGUUCAAAUUGAUAGCUUAAUAAUGAGCAAA
rnacentral:misc_RNA from 1 species